AUGCUAUGUCUUGAGCGUUACUAGGGUUUUAAACCAAAUGUAAAUUUUAAGAAACAAUGGUGGCCUUCCACUAGAGUAAAUGCUGGAGUACAGGGCAGUUUUGCAGUUUAAGGUGUUUAUAUAGAAGUCCUUGCUAAAUUAAAAGCUUAGAAAUUUAAAAAGGUUUUUUUUUUUUUCUUUCUUUCAUUCUCACCGAGGAUACUUUUCCCUUGAGCUUUAGAGAUAGUGGAAGAGAUGGGGAGAGAUCGAGAGAGAAACACAUCAUAUGCCUCCUGCACGCCCCCAUCCGGGGCCAGGGAUUGAGCCUGCAACUGAAUGAGGCAUGUGCUUCUGGUUGGAAUCAAACCUGGGACCCAGUCUGCCGGCUGAAGCUCCAUCCACUGAACCAAACUUAGUAGGGUAAAAGGUUAUAAAUUGUUAGAGAAAUUUCAAUAUUCAAUUGGUUGGGGGUGGUAGUUUCAUUAUGCUAGUUUAAAAUAUGCUUGAGUAAAUAAAAGUUAUGCGUGAGCUAAACCGCUGCCUAUCAUUCCUGUCUGUUGAGUGAUGGGGUGGUUUUGUUGACCUGUGGUGUGUUUACAGAUGGAAAUGGCUGUUGGGUGUCAUUAGGCAGCCUGUAAGACCAGGUGCCUUUCCUCAAGCCAAGGGCAUUGGAGUUCCUUUAAAAGCCAGUCUUUCGUGAUGUUAAGCAUGUAUUGCUAAAUAAACCCAGAAAACUUUUAUUGCCUGCCUAGAUGUUGGCUUUUCCCUAGAAAGGUGGUUUUCAGUUCUAGUCAUGAUAACUGUAAAAGUGAGCUGUGCCAGUGGUUCUGGAAUGCGCUCUUGGUGUAUCAGGCACUGUGAGAAGUGACAGCAGUGCUCCCAGUUUUUGCAAUUUCUUACUUACAAAGUGACCAAUGUUGUGAAAAUCAGAAUCUUUAAUUGUUUGAUACAGCACCAUUUGUUAAUAAUAGACAGUGAGGAGUAUCAUCUUUAUUUAUUUAUUUUUUAAACAAAACAGGACACAGGAGUAUCAUCUUCAGAUGAGUCAGCUAAUGUUGCUGGAUCUCAUUUUUAAAAUGAGAAAGUUGAGCUCGAUUCUAAGGGAUGGAAGCCUUUCAACAUAAAAAUUUUUUAUUUAUUUUAUUGAUUGAUUUUUAGAGAGAAACAUCGAUUUAUUGUUCCACUUCUUUAUUUAUGCAUUCAUUGGUUGUUUCCUGUAUGUGCCCUGACCAGAGAUGGAACCUGCAACCUUGGCAUAUCACAGUGAUGCUCUUAACCAACCAAGCUAUCCGACCAGGGUCCUUGUGUUUCUUGCUGGGGUUUUUUGGGUACCAUUGUUAGAGGCUUAACACAUAAUUUAUGUAUUUAAUUCGAACUAGCCUGUAAAUCCUUCCUUUUUAAUUUAUAAUUUUAUUCCUGGAGUCUAGCAUGGAGUUUGGUACAUUUUUAUACUCAGUAAACAAUUGUUGAAAUAAUGAAACCUCUCACACCUCAUUUAUUAAAAUACCCCUCUAGAUUUAAAGUUUAUUUUCUGAACUAACCUUCCUAAGGGGAGAAUUUUGUUAUGUUUUAUUCCUGCUGAUAUUUUAUAAUGAUCCCCCAUUUAUCCAAUUCGGCUUUCUUCUGUAAAGGGCAAGAUCAUAAAUAUUUUAGGCAUUGUGGGCCACAUAGAAUCUCUGUCAUAUUCUUUGCCGGUUGACUUAUUUGUUCACUCCUUUUGACAAUCCUUUUAAAAAUGUGAAACAGGUUUGGCUCAGUGGAUAGAGCGUGUCUGCCUGCAGACUGAAGGAUCCUGGGUUCCAUUCCCGUCAAGGGCAAACAGCCGGGUUGCGGGCUCGAUCCCCAGAAGGGGCUUGUGAGAGGCAGCCGCUCAAUGGUUCUCUUUCAUCAUUGAUGUUUCUAGCUCCCCCUCGCUUCCCUCUCUGAAAUCAAUAAAAUCAUUUUUAAAAAAUACACAAGUCAUUCUUACCUCAAGAGUCAUAUUUUGCCAGCCCCUGUCCUAAGUAAUCAACUCCCCAGGCAUAUUAAUCUGACUCAUUUAUAUCAGUUUCUUCCUUUGUGGUGGUCCUCAGGUUAUUUGUAAUUUGAACCACACUGUUCAGAGCCCCAGAAAUAUUUUUUAACAGAAAACUAAUAACUAGAAUUCAUUUAUUUCUUUGCUAAGUACUAUGUAGUUAUGUGCAAGGCAGGUGAAAUUGCCUUCUGUAAGUAAACUGGACAACAAAGUGAUAUUUAGAUGACAGAAUCUAGUUUGAGGUAUAUGGGGUCUCUAGGAAAGAGUAUGUGCAGUUAACUUGACUAAUGUAAAUUUUCUUAUAUUGUGAUAACUUAAAAACUGCUUUAAAGCAGAAAAAAAACUUAAUGUUUCCAUAGCAUAUGUGAGGAGAGGCAGACCUUAUUUUGCAGCAGCACUGUGCCAAGGGGCUGUUUUCAUUAAAGAGGGUUAAUGGAAUUAAGAUUGGGUUCUCAGAUAGGUAAGUUAAUUUUCUGUUACACUUUUCCGGAGUAUUCUCUCUGCUAUUUUAACCCUUUUUGGUCCAACGUGGAGGCUGACUCGACAGACCAGGCGCUAGGACAG